GACGAACGCUGGCGGCGUGCUUAACACAUGCAAGUCGAACGAAGUGGCGCACGGGUGAGUAAUACGUGGGUAACUGCCCUCCUUUUUGGGAUAAGCCUUGGAAACGGGGUCUAAUACCGACUAAAGGGGGAUGGGCUGUCGGCCUAUCAGCUUGUUGGUGGGGUGAUGGCCUACCAAGGCGGGGACGGGUAGCCGGCCUGAGAGGGGACCGGCCACAUUGGGCUGAGAUACGGCCAAGGCGCCUACGGGAGGCAGCAGUGGGGGAUAUUGCACAAUGGGCGAAAGCCUGAUGCAGCGACGCCGCGUGAAGGAAGACGGUCUUCGGAGUGGAAACGUCUUUAGACAGGGACGCGGUACCUGUAGAAUAAGCCACGGCUAACUACGUGCCAGCCGCCGCGGUAAUAC
rnacentral:rRNA from 1 species